AUGAACGCUAGCUACAGGCUUAACACAUGCAAGUCGAGGGGCAGCAUGAACUUAGCUUGCUAAGUUUGAUGGCGACCGGCGCACGGGUGAGUAACACGUAUCCAACCUGCCGAUGACUCGGGGAUAGCCUUUCGAAAGAAAGAUUAAUACCCGAUGGCAUAGUUCUUCCGCAUGGUAGAACUAUUAAAGAAUUUCGGUCAUCGAUGGGGAUGCGUUCCAUUAGGUUGUUGGCGGGGUAACGGCCCACCAAGCCUUCGAUGGAUAGGGGUUCUGAGAGGAAGGUCCCCCACAUUGGAACUGAGACACGGUCCAAACUCCUACGGGAGGCAGCAGUGAGGAAUAUUGGUCAAUGGACGAGAGUCUGAACCAGCCAAGUAGCGUGAAGGAUGACUGCCCUAUGGGUUGUAAACUUCUUUUAUACGGGAAUAAAGUGAGGCACGUGUGCCUUUUUGUAUGUACCGUAUGAAUAAGGAUCGGCUAACUCCGUGCCAGCAGCCGCGGUAAUACGGAGGAUCCGAGCGUUAUCCGGAUUUAUUGGGUUUAAAGGGAGCGUAGGCGGACGCUUAAGUCAGUUGUGAAAGUUUGCGGCUCAACCGUAAAAUUGCAGUUGAUACUGGGUGUCUUGAGUACAGUAGAGGCAGGCGGAAUUCGUGGUGUAGCGGUGAAAUGCUUAGAUAUCACGAAGAACUCCGAUUGCGAAGGCAGCCUGCUGGACUGUAACUGACGCUGAUGCUCGAAAGUGUGGGUAUCAAACAGGAUUAGAUACCCUGGUAGUCCACACAGUAAACGAUGAAUACUCGCUGUUUGCGAUAUACAGUAAGCGGCCAAGCGAAAGCGUUAAGUAUUCCACCUGGGGAGUACGCCGGCAACGGUGAAACUCAAAGGAAUUGACGGGGGCCCGCACAAGCGGUGGAGCAUGUGGUUUAAUUCGAAGCAACGCGAAGAACCUUACCAGGUCUUGACAUCGAUCUAAAGGCUCCAGAGAUGGAGAGAUAGCUAUAGAGAAGACAGGUGGUGCAUGGUUGUCGUCAGCUCGUGUCGUGAGAUGUUGGGUUAAGUCCCGCAACGAGCGCAACCCUUAUCUUUAGUUACUAACAGGUCAUGCUGAGGACUCUAGAGAGACUGCCGUCGUAAGAUGUGAGGAAGGUGGGGAUGACGUCAAAUCAGCACGGCCCUUACGUCCGGGGCUACACACGUGUUACAAUGGGGGGUACAGAAGGCAGCUACACGGCGACGUGAUGCUAAUCCCUAAAGCCUCUCUCAGUUCGGAUUGGAGUCUGCAACCCGACUCCAUGAAGCUGGAUUCGCUAGUAAUCGCGCAUCAGCCACGGCGCGGUGAAUACGUUCCCGGGCCUUGUACACACCGCCCGUCAAGCCAUGAAAGCCGGGGGUACCUGAAGUGCGUAACCGCAAGGAGCGCCCUAGGGUAAAACUGGUGAUUGGGGCU
rnacentral:rRNA from 1 species